AUGACUUGCUUAUUGCACCACAUGUGUUUUUCUUUGAAACAAACUUGCUUUGGCGGUGGGCCCAGCCUGCCGCCAGAGGUCUAAACUUACAACCAAUUUUUUAUCAACUUGUCACACCAGAUUAUUACUAAUAGUCAAAACUUUCAACAACGGAUCUCUUGGUUCUCGCAUCGAUGAAGAACGCAGCGAAAUGCGAUACGUAAUAUGAAUUGCAGAUAUUCGUGAAUCAUCGAAUCUUUGAACGCACAUUGCGCCCUCUGGUAUUCCGGAGGGCAUGCCUGUUUGAGCGUCGUUUCUCCCUCAAACCGCUGGGUUUGGUGUUGAGCAAUACGACUUGGGUUUGCUUGAAAGACGGUAGUGGUAAGGCGGGAUCGCUUUGACAAUGGCUUAGGUCUAACCAAAAACAUUGCUUGCGGCGGUAACGUCCACCACGUAUAUCUUCAAACUUUGACCUCAAAUCAGGUAGGACUACCCGCUGAACUUAAGCAUAUCAAAAGCCGGGAGGAACA
rnacentral:rRNA from 1 species